CCCUUAGAUGUUCUGGGCCGCACGCGCGCUACACUGACGAAUGCAACGAGCUUAUAACCUUGGCCGAAAGGUCUGGGUAAUCUCCAAAUUUCGUCGUGAUGGGGAUAGAUUAUUGCAAUUAUUAAUCUUCAACGAGGAAUGCCUAGUAAGCGCAAGUCAUCAGCUUGCGUUGAUUACGUCCCUGCCCUUUGUACACACCGCCCGUCGCUCCUAUCGAUUGAAUGGUCCGGUGAAGCGCUCGGACCGCGGCCUCUUGACGGUUCGCUGUCGAUUGGCUGUGGGAAGUUCGUUAAACCUUAUCAUUUAGAGGAAGGAGAAGUCGUAACA
rnacentral:rRNA from 1 species